GCAUUAGGAAGAAAACAAUAUUCUUGGAUUUUUAAAAUAGCUAAUUAUUUUACCGAUGAAUAUCUUGCUGGCAGCCAUCUACGUUUUUUAUUAAACAUUCAUAAAAAUUAUAACACUUUUACACCAAGGAAGUAAUGUUCACCACUUCACUACCAACCCCCCCUCCCCUAUCCAUCAAACCAGCCUACAAUACUCCAACCCAUGUAUAAAUGUAAACAAUAAACGUCAACAACAGAAAAGCAAAAACAACGAAGUCAAUCGCCUCUAACGAUGAAAGUGAAAAAGGCAAUAAUAUUUGUCUGGCAAUGAAUAGCAGGCGAAGGAUCCACUGAAUACUGUCGUUCAAAAUGAAUGGGGACGUUGAGACAAUCGCCAACAAUCACUAAAAACCGUGUUUGCAGAGUCAGUCGUUACUUCUAUUGACAACUUUAAUACGAGUAUUUGAAUGUAACCAUAAAGGGAAUGUUGCUUCGUAUACGUCUUGAGAUUUGAAUACGUCAACAUCAUCCACACAGGGGAAAAAGAGAUUCUCUCGUCACUCACCAACGAUAUUUAUGGGGAAGUCUAUAUGGAUUUUAUGAAAUAUGCGCGAUAAUGAAAGUGAAACACGAAAAUUAAGGAAAGUUUGGAAAACUGAGAACAACUGUUGUGAACAUUAGAAAAACGUGAAAGAGAAAUACAAUUAUUUCAAAGGUGGCCGGAUAACACCAGAAGACGGAGAAAAGUCGUAAAAUGCAGCGGAGCGCAAUGAAAAACAUAAAAACCAAAUAAAAAGGCAAAUCGCUAAAAACACCCAAACAACCCAACAACUAACGGAAUAAACAUUCUAACGACCCUCUGUAAAACAUACAAGUAUAUGUACAUAUAUACCCAGCUGCUCUUCUUCAUCCACCCGCAUGCAUACUCGCGUACCACCGUCUAUAACAUUUGCACCCCGGUUCGGUUUGAUGCGAUGCGAGAAACAAAUAUUUGUAGAAAAUUGCGCCGAACAACUUCCAUUUCAUUUUCAACGCCGGAAAAACGCAUAAAAUUUUACGAGCAGCAGCUGAAUACAGAGGAAUAACAGUGGUAAGGCAGCAGCAGCACGAAUGCCGGCAAUGUCGCCUACAGCAAAUCACGGAAUGAAUUUGAACUGGUUUGGGUAAAACAAAGUGAGAGCUAAACUUUACUUCCAUGUAAGGAAGGGAAGUAGAAUAGAGCGAAGGUGGUGACUAUGGAACACUAUUCAAUCUCUUGAGUUCGGGAAUUCCUGAUAUUUUCUGUUAUUUUCCCCCAUUUUUCAUCUUAAAUCAAAUUAAAACAGUUCAAGGAAACACUUGGAAGCACCUUUAAGGACUUUUAUGUAUAAUGUAAAAUUUAAUUUAAUUAGAGGGAAUUAAAAAUAAAAUUGAGCUAGAGAUUUACAUGCUUAGCUACAUUAAU